GACGAACGCUGGCGGCGCGCCUAACACAUGCAAGUCGAACGGAGCUUAGAGAGCUUGCUUUUUAAGCUUAGUGGCGAACGGGUGAGUAACGCGUGAGUAACCUGCCCUAGAGUGGGGGACAACAGUUGGAAACGACUGCUAAUACCGCAUAAGCCCACGGUACCGCAUGGCACUGAGGGAAAAGGAUUUAUUCGCUUUAGGAUGGACUCGCGUCCAAUUAGCUAGUUGGUGAGGUAACGGCCCACCAAGGCGACGAUCAGUAGCCGACCUGAGAGGGUGACCGGCCACAUUGGGACUGAGACACGGCCCAAACUCCUACGGGAGGCAGCAGUGGGAAUAUUGCACAAUGGGGGAAACCCUGAUGCAGCGACGCCGCGUGAGCGAAGAAGUAUUCGGUAUGUAAACUUCUUUUAAGUGGGAAGAGUAGAAGACGGUACCACUUGAAUAAGCCACGGCUAACUACGUG
rnacentral:rRNA from 1 species